rnacentral:lncRNA from 1 species
UCUUUUGAGCUUUGCUGGAAAUAGGAGAUGGUCGACGGUUACCAACAAAUAUCGAUCGAUGUUGAGCUCUUCUCAUCGAUCGACAGCGAAGCCACUCGAGAGUUAAUGACAAAUUAGAAGAUUUCAAGUUUCACAAAAUUUUCAAUAAUUACAUCUUAAGUCCUUGGCCGCCUGUUAGGCUAUUUAUUAGGGUUUUGUAUCAUUUUAGAGGCAGACUUGUCUGGAGACCUUUUUAGACCUAACUUGGAGGAAGCAAGAAGCCACCAUUGAUAGGAGAUAGCUUAGGAUUGGAGAGAUAGAUCAAUACUGCAAAACAGAGAAGAUCUUGAACUCCCUUGCCUUCACUUAUUUUGUUGCUUACUUUUGUUGUGUAUUUUAUUUAAGUAUAAUUCAGACCAUCAUAACUAUGUGUUUCAUGAAUAUGUCUGUGUAGUCCUUACUGUUAGAUUUAGGUUUCUCAAUAGGUUGAUAAAU